rnacentral:rRNA from 1 species
GACGAACGCUGGCGGCGUGCCUAAUACAUGCGAGUCGAACGCUUCUUUCCUCCCGAGUGCUUGCACUCAAUUGGAAAGAGGAGUGGCGGACGGGUGAGUAACACGUGGGUAACCUACCCAUCAGAGGGGGAUAACACUUGGAAACAGGUGCUAAUACCGCAUAACAGUUUAUGCCGCAUGGCAUAAGAGUGAAAGGCGCUUUCGGGUGUCGCUGAUGGAUGGACCCGCGGUGCAUUAGCUAGUUGGUGAGGUAACGGCUCACCAAGGCCACGAUGCAUAGCCGACCUGAGAGGGUGAUCGGCCACACUGGGACUGAGACACGGCCCAGACUCCUACGGGAGGCAGCAGUAGGGAAUCUUCGGCAAUGGACGAAAGUCUGACCGAGCAACGCCGCGUGAGUGAAGAAGGUUUUCGGAUCGUAAAACUCUGUUGUUAGAGAAGAACAAGGACGUUAGUAACUGAACGUCCCCUGACGGUAUCUAACCAGAAAGACACGGCUAACUACGUG